rnacentral:rRNA from 1 species
UACGGAGGAUGCGAGCGUUAUCCGGAUUUAUUGGGUUUAAAGGGUGCGUAGGCGGACGCUUAAGUCAGCGGUAAAAUUGCGGGGCUCAACCUCGUCGAGCCGUUGAAACUGGGUGCCUUGGGUGGGCGAGAAGUACGCGGAAUGCGUGGUGUAGCGGUGAAAUGCAUAGAUAUCACGCAGAACUCCGAUUGCGAAGGCAGCGUACCGGCGCCCAACUGACGCUGAAGCACGAAGGCGUGGGUAUCGAACAGG